UGCACAUUUAAUCAUAGAAUAUGUAGUGUAAAGUAUUCAUAGUCAAGAGCUAAGCCUACCUAGCCUCAUCUGUUUAUCCUCACAUACUUACCUUUUUUUUUUUUUAACUUGUUGAUAAUGUUAGGAUAGUAAUGAUAAGGAAAAUGACAUUUGUGAAUAAUAAUAGUAACAGAAAUGUUAAAAGUUCAACAAAAAAUUAAGGAUUGCAUAAAAUUAGGAAGAACUAGUAAUUAUCCCCUUGGAGACUUGGCACUUCAGGAACUAUCUAACUAAAACCAAAUUAAUCAAACUUUUGUUUCAGCAUAUAUGUAGGUCAAUAUGUAUUCAGAAAAUAAUCUAUUUGCCUUAACUUAUGAAUGAACAGAUGUUUCUGAACUAAAAACUGCCAAAGGACUUGCAUUACAAGACAUCUUAACAGAGAUACAUACCUACAUUCACAGAAUUGAUUUUCCAGUAGAAGUAAGAAUUCAUCUUGUGGAACGGCUAUCAGACAUUGAAGUGCGGCUGUGCUCUGGGGCAUCAGAAAAAAUCCAGUUGUCAGCAGUUCUAGCUGCUUUUGCCCAAGCAAAACACAUGGUAGCAACCCAGGCAGCUGCUUAGAAAUGUGUAUGUAGAGUGUACAUAAAUAUAACUUUUGUAACUGUCUGUCUUGCUGUAUUGAGAAAAGGUUUUCAAAUAAAUUCUUAGUUUAUAA